UAGGGAAUCUUCCGCAAUGGACGCAAGUCUGACGGAGCAACGCCGCGUGAGUGAAGAAGGAUUUCGGUUCGUAAAACUCUGUUGUUAGAGAAGAACAGCGCAUAGAGUAACUGUUAUGCGUGUGACGGUAUCUAACCAGAAAGCCACGGCUAACUACGUGCCAGCAGCCGCGGUAAUACGUAGGUGGCAAGCGUUGUCCGGAUUUAUUGGGCGUAAAGCGAGCGCAGGCGGUCAAUUAAGUCUGAUGUGAAAGCCCCCGGCUCAACCGGGGAGGGUCAUUGGAAACUGGUUGACUUGAGUGCAGAAGGGGAGAGUGGAAUUCCAUGUGUAGCGGUGAAAUGCGUAGAUAUAUGGAGGAACACCAGUGGCGAAGGCGACUCUCUGGUCUGUAACUGAAGCUGAGGCUCGAAAGCGUGGGUAGCAAACAGG
rnacentral:rRNA from 1 species